ACAGGAGCUUGGGAUCCGUCUCCUCUUUCGCCUCCUCCACCUUGGGAGCCCCGGGCUACUCUCUCACAGCCCUUGUUGCCCUGUGAUCUGUAGGUCUUGGGGACGCAUAGUUAAGGUGCCAGGACAUCCUGGAAGCUGGGAAAUGACCAUGGCUGGAGAAGGAAAGAAGGUGUGUUUUGCCUGAUUCAGGGACUAUAGAGAGAACCAAGUUCUGCAGGCCUGUCACCUAAGUCUCAGCUGGGUGUCACAAACUCUGAACUGGAUUCCAAGGCUUUCAUGAAUGCACUUAUGUUUGCUGUGGCAGCUGCAUUAUGUCGUGGGGGAUGUGGAUGCAGAACCUCACAUUCUGUCGUCUUGCUUAUGUUACUCUCCUUUAUGUUUCACUUUCUCAAAUGAAUGUCAAGCAGGUGAUUUUCAGAUUCAAAAGUUCUAAAAUAAAUUGCUCAAAUUUACACAUUAUGUAAGCUGUUAAUAAAAUUUCUUGUAGGUGCUACAUAUUUAUUAAAAUUUUUGGUUGUAAUUUUAAGCUCACUGUAGGCAGAAAGGAAUCAUUAAGAUUUCUAUUCUUUUUUAGUCUGUAUCUAAAUGACCGUAUAUUUUAAUUCCAAGUAUUUACUUUAUACUUCAGUAAUGCUCAUUGUAUUUUGCAAAAUUUAUAUUGUUCUUUUAUUUGAAAAUAUAAGGCUUUUUUUUAGCUCCUGAAAGCUAUAUUAUAGUCAUAUAGUUUUAUUAUAGUAUUUGAUAAGAAGAGCAGCAACAUAUUGAGAACAGAAUAAAAUUCUGCUGUCUUUUUAAUGAUUAUUUAUUAAAUUCUUCUCAUUAGAGCCUAUUAUUAAUGAUUGUAAUGUAUUUUCUGUAUAAUUUUACUGCAAUUUAUUAAAUGCCAAUGACUUCCAA
rnacentral:lncRNA from 1 species